AUACGGAGGGUCCAAGCGUUAUGCGGAUUCAUUGGGUUUAAAGGGUCCGCAGGCGGGAAAAUAAGUCAGUGGUGAAAGCCUACAGCUCAACUGUAGAACUGCCAUUGAUACUGUUUUUCUUGAGUAUAGAUGAAGUGGGCGGAAUAUAUCAUGUAGCGGUGAAAUGCAUAGAUAUGAUAUAGAACACCGAUUGCGAAGGCAGCUCACUAAACUAUUACUGACGCUCAGGGACGAAAGCGUGGGGAGCGAACAGGAUUAGAAACCCUUGUAGUCC
rnacentral:rRNA from 1 species